CCUACGGGAGGCAGCAGUAGGGAAUAUUGCUCAAUGGGGGAAACCCUGAAGCAGCAACGUCGCGUGGGGGAUGAAGGUUUUCGGAUUGUAAACUCCUUUUUUUAGAGAAGAUAAUGACGGUAUCUAACGAAUAAACACCGUCUAACUCCGUACCAGCAGCCGCGGUAAUACGGAGGGUGCAAGCGUUACUCGGAGUCACUGGGCGUAAAGAGCGCGUAGGCGGGAUAGCAAGUCAGAUGUGAAAUCCUAUGGCUUAACCAUAGAACUGCAUUUGAAACUGUUAUUCUAGAGUAUGGGAGAGGUAGGUGGAAUUCUUGGUGUAGGGGUAAAAUGCGUAGAGAUCAAGAGGAAUACUGAUUGCGAAGGCGACCUGCUAGAACAUAACUGACGCUGAUGCGCGAAAGCGUGGGGAGCAAACAGGAUUAGAUACCCGAGUAGUC
rnacentral:rRNA from 1 species